UUCCAGUGGUGGUUUUCCAGAACUGAGGUAUUCUGUUUAAUCAAGAAAAAAAAAAAAAAGGAAAGUUGCAACCAUUUUAGUUCUCAUUUCCUGAACGGCAACUAAGGCGGGUCACAAAAUGCCAGAAAUGUCAGUUU